CGGCGGGGCUGUAGCUUGACGGGGUGCGCGAGUCUCAUUAGACUCAUGCACCCCUAAAUUUGGCAGGGUAUGUGCCCUGCCAAAUUGCUUUUGUUGAAAAUAAAUAGCGUCGAAAGACAACAGUGGAGCUAGUAGA
rnacentral:sRNA from 1 species